GUGUCUCAGAGGUUAAAGCGUCUGCCUCCAAUGCAGGAGAUCCAGGUUCGAUCCCUGGC
rnacentral:tRNA from 1 species